rnacentral:rRNA from 1 species
ACUCCUACGGGAGGCAGCAGUGGGGAAUAUUGCACAAUGGGGAAACCCUGAUGCAGCCAUGCCGCGUGUGUGAAGAAGGCCUUCGGUUGUAAAGCACUUUCAGUAGGGAGGAAGGUAGUGUAGUUAACACCUGCAUUAUUUGACGUUACCUACAGAAGAAGCACCGGCUAACUCCGUGCCAGCAGCCGCGGUAAUACGGAGGGGUGCGAGCGUUAAUCGGAAUUACUGGGCGUAAAGCGCAUGCAGGCGGCCUGUUAAGUCAGAUGUGAAAGCCCGGGGGCUUAACCUCGGAAUUGCAUUUGAAACUGGCAGGCUAGAGUCUUGUAGAGGGGGUAGAAUUUCAGGUGUAGCGGUGAAAUGCGUAGAGAUCUGAAGGAAUACCAGUGGCGAAGGCGGCCCCCUGGACAAAGACUGACGCUCAGAUGCGAAAGCGUGGGAGCAAACAGGAUUAGAUACCCUGGUAGCACAGAG